CUGCGGGUUCCAGGGAGGUGCGGGAACCGGGGAGUGGGCCGCGCCCCCCGGAGCGCCUGCCGCGGUCACCUGCCACGGACGCCACCAUUAAAACACACUGGCCCUUCUCGGUCUUCCUGGGAUGGCUGAGAUCACAGCGAUCCAGACCUUUAAAAAAUUAGUGUCGGAAAUAGCCGGUCUUCUUUGAGCCUGUCAUUUUCUUUUUUCUAAAAGGCCUCAAAGGGUAGAAGGAAACAGGCCAGGCUUUAUUUAAUAAGCACAAGGCGCAUGUUGUGUGCCCAGGCCCUGCUCUGUAGGCUCUACGGUCCUCAGCCCAUUUAGCCUGCAUUUUACCGAGGAGGAAACUAAGGCACAGACACUAAGUGACCUUACCCAAGGUCACCCAGCCACUAAGCGGUGGAGCUGAGAUGCAAACCCCGGCAAUCUGGCUCCAGAGUCAGUGUAUGUGUAGCCCUAAGGUCUUGACAUGAUGAUAAUGUCAAUAGCAGCUAGCAAAAGCAUUUAUCCGCUGGAGCAAUCUACCUGCGUCAACUCAUUUUAUCUGCGAUAAUCAUUUUUCCCCAUGGGGGGAAUGAAGCCCAGAGAUGUGACUGGUCCAGGGUCACCCCUUUACCCAGGAGACUGAGACCUAAUCAAAGGGCCCAAAGAAAGCUUAUAAUGUCUUCACCUUGGGCUACCCUAAAAAUUCAUGGGAAUUUUACAUCAAGUUCCUCCGUACACCCAAGCUUCCCUUACUAAAGCACCAUUCUUUAAUUUACCACUGAGCAAGCACAGUUCUUGAGACAGUAGACAAAGAGGGGAUAAGUUCUGAGAAAUGCUUCAUUAGGUGAUGCUAUUAUUGUGCAAUCCUUUCAGAGUGUACUUAUACAACUGAAGGUAACUACAACAUCAUGAUGAGAAAUAUUGAUGGGACCACUAUCAUAUAUGUGGUCCAUUGUUUUCUUUCUUUCUUUCUUUUGGUACUGGGGAUCGAACUCAGGACCUUGCACUUGGAAGGCAGGCUGCAGAACCACUGAGCUGAAUCUCCGGCCCUAUGUGGUCCACUGUUGAGUGGCUGUCCUAUGGCAACACGUGACUGCAAAUGUAACUAGGAAGGGAUCGAACUCGGGACCUUGUACUUGCAAAGCAGGAGACGGAACCAUUGAGCUAAAUCCUGGGCCUGUCAAUAUUGUCAUUUUUAACAAGGCCCCUGCAGAGUAAGACAGCAGAACAGGGAGAACGUGGAAUUUUUCAGCUCUAUUUUAUCAUCACUUACGUAAUCUUCCAAGAAUGUUGUAAAGUAAUAAACCUAAAUAAGAGGUAGAAAAGCAAAAAAGGAGGAAAAGAACAGAAACCUCACUGGAGUCCCGUCCCCUUCCCCUGCGCCUUCCAGAGUUCUGGGAUUACAGGCACAUGCUACCCACACAUGGUGAGUCUGGACAUCUUUCCAUAUGUUUUAGGGUCAUUUGUAUUUCCUUCUCUACAAACCACUGGUUUGUAUUCUUUGCUCAUUUUUCUUCUGCGGCUGUCAAAGCUCUUUACUUGGGGUUUGUGACAUUCUCAGGGAGUCGUCACUCAGAUAUGAUUAAGAAUUAUAGGGGAAAAAAAGAUCAGCUUGCUCUAACCCAAUACCUAUCUUGUGGCAUACAGAGUUUAUUUCAAAGAUUUUUAAAAUAAUUAUUAAAGCUUAAAUACACAUACUGAAAACUGUACAUAUACAUUACCAUUUGAUGGAGUUUUACAAACUGGACACAUUUCUAUAACCAGUAUAGAUUAAGAUACAGAUAUUACCAGAACCCCAGAAGCCCUUAUCAAUACAACCUUGCAGUCUCCAACACACAGGACUCUUUAUUCUUCUGUAGCUUUACUUUUUUAUUCUAUUUUUCCACCUUAAAUCUUUCUGAUGUUACCAUGUAGUUUAAACUGCAAAGUUCAAAUGAAUAAAAUUUUUUUCCUUAAAUUCUUUUAUUGGUACAUUUU